UGCCAGCAGCCGCGGUAAUACAGAGGGCCCGAGCGUUAAUCGGAAUCACUGGGCUUAAAGCGUACGUAGGCGGACUUGUAGGCAUCUUGUGAAAUCCCUCGGCUCAACCGGGGAAUUGCAGGGUGAACCACAAGUCUUGAGGCGAGUAGAGGCGGUCGGAACGAUAGGUGGAGCGGUGAAAUGCGUAGAUAUCUAUCGGAACGCCAAAGGUGAAGACAGGCCGCUGGGCUCGUCCUGACGCUGAGACGCGAAAGCGUGGGGAGCAAACAGGAUUAGAUA
rnacentral:rRNA from 1 species